rnacentral:rRNA from 1 species
GAUGAACGCUGGCGGCGUGCCUAAUACAUGCAAGUCGAGCGAACAGACGAGGAGCUUGCUCCUCUGACGUUAGCGGCGGACGGGUGAGUAACACGUGGAUAACCUACCUAUAAGACUGGGAUAACUUCGGGAAACCGGAGCUAAUACCGGAUAAUAUAUUGAACCGCAUGGUUCAAUAGUGAAAGACGGUUUUGCUGUCACUUAUAGAUGGAUCCGCGCCGCAUUAGCUAGUUGGUAAGGUAACGGCUUACCAAGGCAACGAUGCGUAGCCGACCUGAGAGGGUGAUCGGCCACACUGGAACUGAGACACGGUCCAGACUCCUACGGGAGGCAGCAGUAGGGAAUCUUCCGCAAUGGGCGAAAGCUUGACGGAGCGACGCCGCGUGAGUGAUGAAGGUCUUCGGAUCGUAAAACUCUGUUAUUAGGGAAGAACAAAUGUGUAAGUAACUAUGCACGUCUUGACGGUACCUAAUCAGAAAGCCACGGCUAACUACGUGC